rnacentral:rRNA from 1 species
AUGGAGCACGACGCGCCGCCCGCCCCCUCGCACCACGCCCAGGACGACGGCGCCGUGGACGACUGGGCGCGCGACGACGCGGAGCCGUCCGAUCGGCACGCCGCCCCCGCGGAGGAGAGCCCCGAGCCCGCGGACGCCGCCGCCGCCCCCGCGCCACCAGCGGAAGGUGUCAAUGACAUUCAGUCAUCACUUCAGUCGUUGGAGUUGAAGACAAAUGCUCCUGCGCAUGAGGAUGUUCAAAUGGUAGCAGAUGAGGAAGAGGAAGAAAAGCGCCAUAUAAAUUUGGUUUUCAUCGGCCAUGUUGAUGCGGGGAAAUCGACUGCUGGAGGGCAAAUAUUGUUCUUGAGUGGUCAGGUUGAUGACCGGACCAUCCAGAAAUAUGAAAAAGAAGCAAAGGAUAAGAGCCGAGAAAGUUGGUAUAUGGCUUAUAUUAUGGACACAAAUGAGGAAGAGCGACUUAAGGGGAAGACUGUUGAAGUUGGUAGAGCCCACUUUGAGACUGAAAAUACAAGAUUCACUAUCUUAGAUGCACCGGGCCAUAAAAGUUAUGUUCCAAAUAUGAUAAGUGGUGCAUCUCAAGCUGACAUUGGUGUUCUGGUCAUAUCUGCUCGGAAAGGUGAAUUUGAAACUGGUUAUGAAAGAGGAGGCCAGACUCGUGAACAUGUACUGCUUGCAAAAACUCUAGGUGUUGCUAAGUUGGUAGUUGUCAUCAACAAGAUGGAUGAACCUACAGUACAAUGGUCAAAAGAAAGGUAUGAUGAAAUUGAAGGGAAGAUGAUUCCUUUUCUCAGAUCUUCAGGGUACAAUGUUAAGAAAGAUGUCCAGUUCUUGCCUAUUUCUGGUCUUUGUGGAGCCAAUAUGAAGACCAGAAUGGAUAAAAGCAUUUGUAGUUGGUGGAACGGUCCUUGCCUUUUUGAAAUUCUGGACAAAAUCGAAGUUCCUUUGCGUGAUCCCAAAGGGCCAGUAAGGCUGCCAAUUAUUGAUAAAUAUAAAGAUAUGGGCACAGUCGUAAUGGGAAAAUUAGAGAAUGGGACUAUCAGAGAGGGUGAUAGUUUGUUGGUUAUGCCAAACAAGACCCACGUGAAAGUCACUGGUAUAAACUUGGAUGAGAAGAAAGUACGACGUGCUGGACCCAAUGAGAAUGUACGUGUCAAAGUGUCUGGAAUUGAAGAGGAGGAUAUCAUGGCAGGUUUUGUACUUUCAAGUGUUGCUAAUCCUAUUGGUGCUUUCACUGAAUUUAAUGCCCAACUGCAGAUUCUAGAGUUGCUUGAUAAUGCUAUUUUCACUGCUGGUUACAAGGCAGUGUUACACAUCCACUCUGUUGUCGAGGAGUGUGAGAUUGUUGAUCUCAUAGAGGAAAUUGACAUGAAGAAAGCGAAAGUAACUGACCCAAAGAAAAAGAAGACCAAGAGGAAGCCUCUUUUUGUGAAGAAUGGUGCAGUUGUAGUUUGCCGCGUCCAGGUGACUAAUUUGAUAUGCAUAGAGAAGUUCUCUGAUUUCCCUCAGCUUGGAAGGUUUACUCUACGAACUGAAGGCAAGACAAUAGCUGUAGGCAAGGUUGUUGAUGUUCCUCCAGUUGGCAGGUCAACGUUUUCAGCUUAA